rnacentral:piRNA from 1 species
UGGGUUGGGAUUUGUCCUCAUGGAUGGCCUU